rnacentral:tmRNA from 13 species
GACCUUGAAUCCAACGCCCGCCCCUCGUAUAUCUAGCGUGUUCCUUCGGGAGCUAUGGACAUAAACGCGCUCGUAAUAAGCGGAUCGGACCCGGGGGCGGUACCCGGCGACUCCACCAACACACCCUUCAUUUGGGGGAGGCUUGGGGUCGAAAUAGGAUCGACGAACGUCUAAAGGGGUUAGCUUUGUCCCGGUGAGUUACCACCGUUAUCGGUACACAUCGUACAGUUGCAAAUGACAACCGUGCUCCGGCAAUGGCUCUCGCAGCGUAAGCUGUCCUGAGUCGCCGACUUUAAGCCCUAGCGCCUAGCCGCGUUAGGCGGGGUUCGCAGGCACCUGGCAACAGAAGCCUGCACU